rnacentral:rRNA from 1 species
GAGUUUGAUCGUGGCUCAGGAUGAACGCUGGCGGCGUGCCUAAUACAUGCAAGUAGAACGCUGAAGCUUGGUGCUUGCACCGAGCGGAUGAGUUGCGAACGGGUGAGUAACGCGUAGGUAACCUGCCUGGUAGCGGGGAUAACUAUUGGAACGAUAGCUAAUACCGCAUAACAGUAGAUAUUGCAUGAUAUCUGCUUGAAAGGUGCAAUUGCAUCACUACCAGAUGGACCUGCGUUGUAUUAGCUAGUUGGUGAGGUAACGGCUCACCAAGGCGACGAUACAUAGCCGACCUGAGAGGGUGAUCGGCCACACUGGGACUGAGACACGGCCCAGACUCCUACGGGAGGCAGCAGUAGGGAAUCUUCGGCAAUGGGGGAACCCUGACCGAGCAACGCCGCGUGAGUGAAGAAGGUUUUCGGAUCGUAAAGCUCUGUUGUAAGAGAAGAACGAGUGUGAGAGUGGAAAGUUCACACUGUGACGGUACCUUA